ACGGCCAUACAACAUUGAAAACACCGGUUCUCGUCCGAUCACCGAAGUUAAGCAAUGUCGGUCAGUGACAGUGGAAGGGUAACCACCUUGGAACACAGGUGCUGUAGGCU